rnacentral:misc_RNA from 1 species
GGAUUCUUCAUGUAGGAUUCCACUACUAAAGCAUUCUUGAGCACCUUGAGAUGUAAAAGUUGAGGGCUUUCUGAUUUGUUAUUCCAAAAGCUGGGAGAUAUGAUAGACAUUAUCUAGAAGUUCUACUUUAGUGAUCAAAUAGAAAAUGUGUAAUGAUCACGAAGAAAAUGUGUUCUAUGGGCUGAAGUAUUUUCUGUUAGGUAGUGGGUAGGAGAUAUUCAAAUUUCAUCACUUCUCU